rnacentral:misc_RNA from 1 species
UUUCCGUAGGUGAACCUGCGGAAGGAUCAUUAUUGUAUAACCGAGGUGCGAGGGCUGUCGCUGACCCGAAAGUUCGUGCACGCCCGAGUGCCCUCACACACAUCCAUCUCACCCCUAUGUGCACCACCGCGUGGGUCCUCCUUUGGCGUGUUCGGAGGGGGGCUUACGUUUUCACACAAACUUUGUAUGCAGUGUAGAAUGUAUUUUUUGUUUUUGCGAUCACGCAAUCAAUACAACUUUCAACAACGGAUCUCUUGGCUCUC